UUGUUCUCCCAACUUCGGAUGUGAGGAGGCUGAGGCCCUGGGAGGAUUUACCUCGGCAAGGGGGUGCAGGACAAGUGCAUCAGUCUGCUGUUGGCAAGAUAAACAAAAAGCAUGAAGGAGUACUCAGAUCAAGAUGGGAGGAAAAACCGUCUUGAAACAAGAAAGUGAUAGAAGCAGAAUUUAAGACCUGGAGAGGAGGAUAAAGCAGGAACAGCGGUUAGCCUGUGCUCAGCCUCCUGAUGUCUGCAGCCAUCUCCCCACUGAGGGACGCGCGUGGCCGGUGCACCUCUCCCCUGUCCUCAGCCACUCG
rnacentral:lncRNA from 10 species